GUGGGGAAUAUUGGACAAUGGGCGAAAGCCUGAUCCAGCCAUGCCGCGUGUGUGAAGAAGGUCUUCGGAUUGUAAAGCACUUUAAGUUGGGAGGAAGGGCAGUAAGUUAAUACCUUGCUGUUUUGACGUUACCGACAGAAUAAGCACCGGCUAACUUCGUGCCAGCAGCCGCGGUAAUACGAAGGGUGCAAGCGUUAAUCGGAAUUACUGGGCGUAAAGCGCGCGUAGGUGGUUUUGUAAGUUGGAGGUGAAAUCCCCGGGCUCAACCUGGGAACUUCCUCCAAAACUGCAUGACUAGAGUACGGUAGAGGGUAGUGGAAUUUCCUGUGUAGCGGUGAAAUGCGUAGAUAUAGGAAGGAACACCAGUGGCGAAGGCGACUACCUGGACUGAUACUGACACUGAGGUGCGAAAGCGUGGGGAGCAAACAGGAUUAGAUACCCUAGUAGUCC
rnacentral:rRNA from 1 species